GACGAACGUUGGCGGUGCGCUUUAUACAUGCAAGUCGUGCGCGAAAGGUCCCUUCGGGGACCGAGUAGAGCGGCGAACGGGUGCGUAACACGUGAGCAACCUGCCCUGGAGUGGGGAAUAACUCCGAGAAAUCGGGGCUAAUACCGCAUGAUGCCGCAGCUCCGCAUGAAGCUGCGCUUAAAGUCGGCCUCUGUUUACAAGCUAUCGCUUCAGGAUGAGCCCGCGGCCCAUCAGCUAGUUGGCGGGGUAACGGCCCACCAAGGCAACGACGGGUAGCUGGUCUGAGAGGACGAUCAGCCACACUGGAACUGAGACACGGUCCAGACUCCUACGGGAGGCAGCAGUGGGGAAUUUUGCGCAAUGGGCGAAAGCCUGACGCAGCAACGCCGCGUGUGUGAUGAAGGUCUUCGGAUUGUAAAGCACUUUCGACCGGGACGAAAAAGCGGGUGCUAAUCAGCCCGCCUUGACGGUACCGGGAGAAGAAGCACCGGCUAACUCUGUGCCAGCAGCCGCCGUAAUAC
rnacentral:rRNA from 1 species